AACGUAGGUUCCGAGCGUUAUCCGGAUUUACUGGGCGUAAAGCGCGUUCAGGCGGUUCGGCAAGUCGGGCAUGAAAUCUCUCGGCUCAACCGGGAGAGGUUGUCCGAUACUGCUGGACUUGAGGGCAGUAGAGGGUGGUGGAAUUCCGGGUGUAGUGGUGAAAUGCGUAGAUAUCCGGAGGAACACCAGUGGCGAAAGCGGCCACCUGGACUGUACCUGACGCUGAGGUGCGAAAGCGUGGGGAGCGAACAGG
rnacentral:rRNA from 1 species